rnacentral:rRNA from 1 species
GACGAACGCUGGCGGCGUGCCUAAUACAUGCAAGUCGAGCGAAUCUUGAGGUGCUUGCACCUCUUGGUCAGCGGCGGACGGGUGAGUAACACGUGGGCAACCUGCCUGUAAGACUGGGAUAACACCGGGAAACCGGUGCUAAUACCGGAUAAUCCUUUUUCUCUCAUGAGGAGAAGCUGAAAGUCGGUUUACGCUGACACUUACAGAUGGGCCCGCGGCGCAUAGCUAGUUGGUGAGGUAACGGCUCACCAAGGCGACGAUGCGUAGCCGACCUGAGAGGGUGAUCGGCCACACUGGGACUGAGACACGGCCCAGACUCCUACGGGAGGCAGCAGUAGGGAAUCUUCCGCAAUGGACGAAAGUCUGACGGAGCAACGCCGCGUGAGCGAUGAAGGCCU